ensembl:lncRNA
GCUCUUUGCGACCCCACGGACUGUACCCCACCAGGCUCCUCUGUCCGUGGGAUUUCCCAGGCAAGAAUGCUGGAGCGGGUUGCGAUGACCUCCCCCUAGGGAUCUUCCCCACGCGGGGACGGGACCCAUGUCUCUUACCUCUGCUGCGCUGGAAGGAUUUGCCUGUGAAGUCAGUUGAUCCUGGACUUUUGUUGGGGUUUUUUUAAUCCCAGUUUCAACUUCGGUACUUGUGAUUGGCCUGCUCGUAUUUCCCAUUUCUUCCUGCUUCCUGCUCACGUGGAUGCUGGGCAUAGAGCUCAAAGUCCACAGCCCGGCCCAGGAUGGAGUCCUGCUUUCAAGAUGGAGCCUGUUGUGUUUCCGCCUUCAUACAGACACAUGUGUGGUACAGUUGGAUCACUGUGCUAUACUCCUGAAACUAACAUAACAUUGUCUAUCAAGUAUACUUUAAUUUUUUUAAAAAAAAGGAUGAAAAUGAAUAAACAAGUAACUCUCAA